rnacentral:rRNA from 1 species
AUUGAACGCUGGCGGCAGGCCUAACACAUGCAAGUCGAACGGUAACAGGAAGCAGCUUGCUGCUUUGCUGACGAGUGGCGGACGGGUGAGUAAUGUCUGGGAAACUGCCCGAUGGAGGGGGAUAACUACUGGAAACGGUAGCUAAUACCGCAUAACGUCGCAAGACCAAAGAGGGGGACCUUAGGGCCUCUUGCCAUCGGAUGUGCCCAGAUGGGAUUAGCUAGUAGGUGGGGUAACGGCUCACCUAGGCGACGAUCCCUAGCUGGUCUGAGAGGAUGACCAGCCACACUGGAACUGAGCCACGGUCCAGACUCCUACGGGAGGCAGCAGUGGGGAAUAUUGCACAAAGGGCGCAAGCCUGAUGCAGCCAUGCCGCGUGUAUGAAGAAGGCCUUCGGGUUGUAAAGUACUUUCAGCGGGGAGGAAGGGAGUAAAGUUAAUACCUUUGCUCAUUGACGUUACCCGCAGAAGAAGCACCGGCUAACUCCGUG